ensembl:misc_RNA 7SK 7SK RNA
GGAAGUGAGGGCCAUCUGGCUGCGACAUCUGUCACCCCAUUGAUCACCAGGGUUGAUUUGGCUGAUCUGGCUGACUAGGUGGGUGUCCCCUUCCUCCCUCACCGCUCCACAUGCAUCUGUCCCGAAGCUGCAUGCUCGAUUGAAGAGGAUGACCAUCCCUGAGAGAGGAGGACUGGUCUUUGGUCAAGGAUAUACAAGUGCUCCCCUGCUAGAACCUGCAAACAGGCUCUCAAAAGCAGGAUAAAGCAGGAUAGGACUGUAGCGGAGUGGGUGUUUUUCUC